rnacentral:rRNA from 1 species
GAUGAACGCUGGCGGCGUGCCUAAUACAUGCAAGUCGAGCGAACGGACGAGACGCUUGCUUCUCUGAUGUUAGCGGCGGACGUGUGAGUAACACGUGGAUAACCUACCUAUAAGACUGGGAUAACUUCGGGAAACCGUAGCUAAUACCGGAUAAUAUUUUGAACCGCAUGGUUCAAAAGUGAAAGACGGUCUUGCUGUCACUUAUAGAUGGAUCCGCGCUGCAUUAGCUAGUUGGUAAGGUAACGGCUUACCAAGGCAACGAUGCAUAGCCGACCUGAGAGAGUGAUCGGCCACACUGGAACUGAGACACGGUCCAGACUCCUACGGGAGGCAGCAGUAGGGAAUCUUCCGCAAUGGGCGAAAGCCUGACGGAGCAACGCCGCGUGAGUGAUGACGGUCUUCGGAUCGUAAAACUCUGUUAUUAGGGAAGAACAUAUGUGUAAGUAACUGUGCACAUAUUGACGGUACCUAAUCAGAAAGCCACGGCUAACUACGUG